rnacentral:rRNA from 1 species
UACGUAGGUGGCAAGCGUUAUCCGGAUUUAUUGGGCGUAAAGGGAGCGUAGGCGGACUUUUAAGUGAGAUGUGAAAUACUCGGGCUCAACUUGAGUGCUGCAUUUCAAACUGGAAGUCUAGAGUGCAGGAGAAGAGAAUGGAAUUCCUAGUGUAGCGGUGAAAUGCGUAGAGAUUAGGAAGAACACCAGUGGCGAAGGCGAUUCUCUGGACUGUAACUGACGCUGAGGCUCGAAAGCGUGGGGAGCAAACAGG